rnacentral:lncRNA from 1 species
GGAUUUUAAUUUUGACCAGAGAUAUGAGUUUUGUUCCAAAUCGGUUUGCCUAAAACACCAUCAAGUACCUUGCAGUGCCUAGGAGGUAGGGUGCUGGGAGCAAGGCCAGUUUCCUGCAUUGGCUUGUGUGGGGUUGCACAGUGAGGGCACUGGUGAGCCAACAACAAUGAAUGUUGCACACAGAAACCUAACAGGGGGAGAGGGAAGCAGAAAUCCAAAUUGUUCUAGAACACAUCCAGAGUAAACAAGUAAAACUCAUCGUCCUUUAUUUUGUGUUUUAUAUCACUGAGCAAUUUGAUUAAAACAAAUCAGCAGGA